rnacentral:piRNA from 1 species
UUUUAGGAGUCUUUUCCACAUUGGUGUCUA